UCCUAGUGUUAAUUUAUAAAAAAAAAAAUAAAGCAUACACGAAUUGUGCUUAUUCUUUCUUAUUUUUAUAUUUUUUUUUUUUUAACUAUUUUAUUUGCAUGACAAUAUGGAAUUAUGUGAUGACACUUUUAUUUUACGGUGGAAUAAUUUCACAGUAAAAAGUCAAAGAUAUAAAGAUUAUGGUACAAAUGUUAUGGAAACAAUAAAAGGGAAAUAUAAAACUAGUGAAGAAUUUUCAAUUUUUAAAAUUAAAACUGCUUUUUUUGUUUGUUUUAUUUUAUUUAUUAUCACAAACUGGACAUAACCAUAGGAAUGAUUUUAAAGGAAUUAUAAAAAAAAAAAAAAAAGUAUAUAACAUAUGCAAGACAAUUAACAGAAUACCAUAUAGAUGAAAGAAGAAAUAACAUAAAUGGCUUAUAUGGCGGUUUGAAUGGCAUAUUGGGAGAAUCUAGUAUGGCGAUUAAAGACAGGAAACAUAAAAAAGUAUUUAAUACUUAUAGUUCUACCACAAAUGCUAAUACGGAUAGACGUAUACCUGGCACUAUUAGAAUUUCUAAAAGCACAACUGAUAAGAAUGAAUCAACUGAUAAGAAUGAAUGUGCAUUCGGUGGUUCUAAAAAGACAGAACAAUAUGUAAAAGAAUCCUAUCAUCAGAAAUUUGAACAAAAUGAAAGAAAUACUGGGUAUAUAGAGGAAAAGAAAAUGGAUAAUUAUGAAAAUAUUUUUAAAAAAUUUGAACAAAUCAUAAAAAAAAAAAAUAAAAACAAAACAAA